rnacentral:misc_RNA from 1 species
AACGCGCAAUCUUAAGAUCUGGAGUCGGACGCACAACUUUGCAGAAAAUACCAUACGCGAUAUUCAUCUUCUGAAGUGAACAAUCGAUUACUGGUGAAGCGCAAAUGCGAUGGAGCUGAGGAGGAGAAAUUGCACAGUGAUAAACUGAUAAUGUCCUGAAAGAUGAGGCCUUUUCGCAUGCAGAGUCUUGUAUAGAAGAAUAAAAGGAAAGGAGAAUUCCCAAUUCCAUCCUCAAAAUGGCAUCACUUUGGAUUCUUCAA